UGGUUUGAACACUUAGAAGAUGGGAAUAA
rnacentral:piRNA from 1 species